rnacentral:rRNA from 1 species
CGGCGUGCUUAACACAUGCAAGUCGAACGAAGGCCUCGGGCUUAGUGGCGGACGGGGUGCAGUACGCGUGACAAUCUACCUUCUAGAUGGGGACAACCGUUGGAAACGACAGCUAAUCCCCAAUAAGCCGAGAGGUGAAACGGGUAUCCGCUAGAAGACGAGCUCGCGUCCGAUUAGUUAGUUGGUGGGGUAAAAGCCUACCAAGGCAGCGAUCGGUAGCUGGUCUGAAAGGAUGAGCAGCCACACUGAGACUGAGACACCGUCCAAACUCCUACGGGAGGCAGCAGUGCGGAAUUUUCCGCAAUGGGCGAAAGCCUGACGGAGCAACGCCGCGUGUGGGAAGAAGGCUCUUGGGCUGUCAACCACUUCUCUCAGGGAAGAAGUCCUGACAGUACCUGAGGAAUCAGCCUCGGCUAACUCCGUGCCAGCAGCCGCAGUAAUACAGAGGAGGCAAGCGUUAUCCGGAAUUAUUGGCCGUAAAGCGUCCGCAGGGGGCGCAUCAAGUCUGCUGUUAAACAUCGGAGCUAAACUCCGGUAGAGCAGUGGAAACUGGUGCGCUAGAGGACGACAGGGGUAGAGGGAAUUCCCAGCGUAACGGUGAAAUGCGUAGAGAUAGGGAAGAACACCGGUGGCGAAAGCGCUCUACUGGGUCGCACCUGACCCUCAGGGACGCAAGCUAAGGUAGCGAAAGGGAUUAGAUACCCCUGUAAUCUUAACCGUAAACGAUGGAUACUAGGCGUGGCACGUAUCGACCCAAGCCGCGCCGAAGCUAACGCGUUAAGUAUCCCGCCUGGGGAGUACGCACGCAAGUGUGAAACUCAAAGGAAUCGACGGGGGCCCGCACAAGCGGUGGAGGAUGUGGAGCAAUUCGAUGCAACGCGAAGAACCUGACCAGGGCUAGACAGCCCGCGAAGUGAGGGGAAACUCAGACGUGCGUACGGGCACGCGGAGACAGGUGGUGCAUGGCUGUCGUCAGUUCGUGUCGUGAGAUGUUGGGUUAAGUCCCGCUACGAGCGCAACCCUCGUCCUUAGUUGCCAGCAUUAAGUUGGGCACUCUAGGGAGACUGCCGGUGACAAACCGGAGGAAGGUGAGGAAGACGUCAAGUCAGCAUGCCCCUUAUGCUCUGGGCAACACACGUCAUACAAUGGUCGGGACAAAGGGGAGCGAGCUCGCGAGAGUAAGCGAAUCCCAGCAAACUCGGCAUCAGUUCAGAUAGCAGGCUGCAACUCGCCUAGCUUGAAGGAGGAAUCGCUAGUAAUCGCAGGUCAGCAUACUACGGUGAAUUCGUUCCCGGGCCUUGUACACACCGCCCAGUCACACCAUGG